rnacentral:lncRNA from 1 species
GAUGAAUGCUGUUUUGGAUUUUUAACCUCUUGAAUGAGGUCAGGGGGACAUCAGCAGAUCUGGGGGCCCUUUGAGGGCUCCUCCAUUCCACUGUCAGCUGGAUCCUGAAACUUGAACUUACAGCAGAUGGAGGGCAAAAUCAGAAGAGGAAAUUAGAGAUAUGAACUGGAAAUGAAAUACUGCCCAGAGAUGAACAUACUUACAGGAU